rnacentral:rRNA from 1 species
UACGUAGGGGGCAAGCGUUGUCCGGAAUCAUUGGGCGUAAAGAGCUCGUAGGCGGCUUGUUGCGUCAGCUGUGAAAACCCGCAGCUCAACUGUGGGCUUGCAGCUGAUACGGGCAGGCUUGAGUUCGGUAGGGGAGACUGGAAUUCCUGGUGUAGCGGUGAAAUGCGCAGAUAUCAGGAGGAACACCGGUGGCGAAGGCGGAUCUCUGGGCCAUUACUGACGCUGAGGAGCGAAAGCGUGGGGAGCGAACAGG